rnacentral:rRNA from 1 species
AUUGAACGCUGGCGGCAUGCUUUACACAUGCAAGUCGGACGGCAGCAUAAAAGAGCUUGCUCUUUUGAUGGCGAGUGGCGAACGGGUGAGUAAUGCAUCGGAACGUACCGAGUAGUGGGGGAUAACUGUCCGAAAGGAUGGCUAAUACCGCAUAUUCCCUGAGGAGGAAAGCAGGGGACCUUAGGGCCUUGCGCUAUUUGAGCGGCCGAUGUCUGAUUAGCUAGUUGGUGGGGUAAGAGCCCACCAAGGCGACGAUCAGUAGCGGGUCUGAGAGGAUGAUCCGCCACACUGGGACUGAGACACGGCCCAGACUCCUACGGGAGGCAGCAGUGGGGAAUUUUGGACAAUGGGCGCAAGCCUGAUCCAGCCAUGCCGCGUGUAUGAAGAAGGCCUUCGGGUUGUAAAGUACUUUUGUCAGGGAAGAAAAGCCUGAGGAUAACACCCUCAGGUCAUGACGGUACCUGAAGAAUAAGCACCGGCUAACUACGUGCCAGCAGCCGCGGUAAUACGUAGGGUGCGAGCGUUAAUCGGAAUUACUGGGCGUAAAGCGAGCGCAGACGGUUAUUUAAGCAAGAUGUGAAAGCCCCGGGCUCAACCUGGGAACUGCGUUUUGAACUGGGUAACUAGAGUGUGUCAGAGGGGGGUAGAAUUCCACGUGUAGCAGUGAAAUGCGUAGAGAUGUGGAGGAAUACCGAUGGCGAAGGCAGCCCCCUGGGAUAACACUGACGUUCAUGCUCGAAAGCGUGGGUAGCAAACAGG